rnacentral:rRNA from 1 species
GAUAACGGCGUCGAGCGGCGGACGGGUGAGUAAUGCCUGGGAAAUUGCCCUGAUGUGGGGGAUAACCAUUGGAAACGAUGGCUAAUACCGCAUAAUAGCUUCGGCUCAAAGAGGGGGACCUUCGGGCCUCUCGCGUCAGGAUAUGCCCAGGUGGGAUUAGCUAGUUGGUGAGGUAAGGGCUCACCAAGGCGACGAUCCCUAGCUGGUCUGAGAGGAUGAUCAGCCACACUGGAACUGAGACACGGUCCAGACUCCUACGGGAGGCAGCAGUGGGGAAUAUUGCACAAUGGGCGCAAGCCUGAUGCAGCCAUGCCGCGUGUAUGAAGAAGGCCUUCGGGUUGUAAAGUACUUUCAGCAGUGAGGAAGGUGGUGUGCUUAAUACGUGCAUCAUUUGACGUUAGCUGCAGAAGAAGCACCGGCUAACUCCGUGCCAGCAGCCGCGGUAAUACGGAGGGUGCGAGCGUUAAUCGGAAUUACUGGGCGUAAAGCGCAUGCAGGUGGUUUGUUAAGUCAGAUGUGAAAGCCCGGGGCUCAACCUCGGAAUUGCAUUUGAAACUGGCAGACUAGAGUACUGUAGAGGGGGGGUAGAAUUUCCCGUGUAGCGGUGAAAUGCGUAGAGAUCUGAAGGAAUACCGGUUGCCGAAUGCGGCCCCCUGGACAGAUACUGA